UUUCUUUUCGACUCUGUUUUAAUCGUGUCCGAGGGCAACAGUUUCUUAUGACUGCCUGCAAAUAGGGACUUGCGAGCUCUAUCUAAAAUUUCUAGUUUUCGUAGCGUAACCUAGUGUCUUGUAUAUAACAUUCGUCUGUAAGUUCCCUUGAAAGCCUUUAAUGAAGAAAAUAAUCCAUGAUGUUAUGGAGAUAGUAGGAAUUUGCAGAGCGGUUGCAAAUGUAGAGUUAGAAUUGUCAAACAUUUUAGGAAUACCGGACAACGUAUGUAGAUGUGCCUUUAUAAUUCUUUUAAUCAGACUUGCCACAUUUCUUAUAAAGUCUUACUUACGAUAGGGUGAAUAGUUUAUUUAAGAGUGCACACAGAGUCUCGGCGCAGUACUUGAGUACACAGCCGGGAGCUCCGGCAGGACCAGGGGAAAACACUGGCCCAACUAGUCAAACCAAGGAGCUUUAAUUUUUCAUGCUAAAUGGUUUUCAAUGUUUUUUUUUUUUUGGGGAGUCCCAUAAAUAUGCACUGAACGUUGGUAGCAUUUAUUGCUCUGAUUUCUGUGUGCUACUGCAUGUCCCAAGACUAGUAGUGGCGCCUUCCCAACUUUAAAUAUUCUUUGGGUUUUUUGUUUUUCUUAAUUUAUUUUGAUAUGCGACAUACUGAAGGCACCCGAGGCCUUGGAGCUGGACAAUGCUGGCAUGCCGCAGCAGUGCGAGAAGGCGCACCUAGAGAUGCACGAAAGGAGAAGGAUACGGAGCAGAUGAGCGAAUCUGCCCGAGAUGGUCCGUCCACAUCGGCUGCUCCCUCGAAUGCCAUCGCUCACUGAAUAGCUCCACGACCGCAGCAGCAGCGGCUUGUUCAGGAACACCAUGGCCAAGAGAUCCACCCCAUCCAGAACAUGUGAGAUUGCUGUAAAAUAUUUACAAGGAAAUAUGGAAAAGUCGCCGGCGGUUGUAUAUCACUGGGAUGGAAAGUUCUUACCAGAUCAGCCAAAGAUGCGGAAAGUUUCGAUGGACGUGCUUUAUGCCACGCACACGAAGCCGAUCAUCCGAACCAGCAGGUCCCACAAAACCAUCCAAUCGAACAGCACCCGCAAAGCCACCCAAUCGACCAAUCGAGCACCCAAUCAUUUGCCAUGGUAUCGGCUGCGGCACCGAAUUCGGUGCCCAACUCAGAUUGAAGCCGUCUACAAAUUAAAAGAUUGUUUAUCCAGAGUUUGAUUGCUGCGUGUUUUGGUCGCAUUUAGGCUGUCCAGCAGCUUUUCCAAUGUUAUCGGCGUAGAGACCUUGUGGCACUCUUCUGCCUUUUUGGAGGAAGACAAUCCGCAAGCAGUUUCUCCGACGUGCAAGCUCAGAAAUCUGCUUGCUGCCCGUAUUGACUUUGUAGACCCUCGUGCCACUGAGAAAGGACCUCCGGUUCCGGUUACAGUUACUUGCCCUUGUAAAUAUUUUACAGCAAUCUCACCUGGCGUUCAUAGCCCCGGCUGCGAGUUCCUCCAGAGUUCAGGUUUCUUCGUAUAAUUCUUCACCUCAGGCAUGAAGAAUACCCCACAGAGGAUAACGAAAUAGACCGACGGGCACAACCAACAAAUUUGGUCAAAUACGGCUUUAGUGGGGAUCACCACCCUUCUUGCACUUCGACUUGCGGGACUUGCUGCCUGUCUUUGACCAGCUUAUCUUGGACUUCCGGCUUUUGCCUUUCUUGCAAGCGGACUUCCUGCGCAUAGGCUUGCCCCAGCUGCGCUUACUUUUACACUUCAUGCCACAGUCCAGCUGUCCUACUGUCUAAAGCAGGCUUGCCUAAUCGGUGCUAUGGAGCUUGCAGAUCGAUAGUCGGACCGACGGUACCGGGCUCGGUGUUCUAGGGA